GAUGAACGCUGGCGGCGUGCCUAAUACAUGCAAGUCGAGCGAACGGACGAGAAGCUUGCUUCUCUGAUGUUAGCGGCGGACGGGUGAGUAACACGUGGAUAACCUACCUAUAAUACUGGGAUAACCUCGGGAAACCGGAUCUAAUACCGGAUAAUCUUUUGAACCGCAUGGUUCAAAAGUGAAAGACGGUCUUGCUGUCACUUCUAGAUGGAUCCGGGCUGCAUGAGCUAGUUGGUACGGUAAGGGCUUACCAAGGCAACGAUGCAUAACCGACCUGGGAGGGUGAUCGGCCACACGGGAAGGGAGACACGGUCCAGAGGCCUAAGGGAGGCAGCAGUAGGGAAUGUGCGGCAAUGGGCGAAAGCAUGACGGAGCAACGCGGCGUGAGUGAUGAAGGUCUUGGGAGCGUAAUAAUCUGUUACGGGGGAAGAACAGAUGUGUAAGGAACUGUGCAGAUCUUGACGGUACCUGAUCAGAAAGCAACGGCUAACUACGUG
rnacentral:rRNA from 1 species